CAAACAAAAAUAAAUAUCCAGAUCUGCUAAGCCAUAUAUUUUCAGCAGAGUUUCCCAAAACUCAUAGCUUCUGCACAGUCUGCAGGUAACAAAUAUUGUAUUUAAAUAUCUAACUUCAAAGAGAAAUGACUGCAGAAGAAGCUCUGCUUUUCUUUUUAAUUAAAACUUUGAGAAUAUUACUGGAGUGGACCCCAAAAGUUAAAGAGCAGAAGGUAAAUAAAAUGUUAUGUGUCUUAAUGUCUUUGCAGUUGGACCUUACAAUUGCUCGAUCCCGUUAUCUUGGCUCCAAGAGCCAAGGACAUGCGGGAGAUGUUGUGCGUCCGUUUGGAGACGAAGCGGAUAGGCGCAGUGGUGGAGAUGACAAGGGUGUCCACGAAGUGAGAGACUUGCCAGAGUCAGACGCUGCAGACUGUGAAGUGUUUCUCAUCAGAAGGGUGGCAGGAGCGAAUGCAAUAGUGGUUACUGCAAAGAACGCCUCUGUCAUCACACGCUCAGGGCUACCGGGGAUGGCUUUCCUUACUGCUCUUAAUAAACAUCUACCUUGGUCCAGUAGGAGAACUGUCACAACACAGAAAGAGGAGGAGGAGGAAGAGAGAGAAAGAGAAAACUAA
rnacentral:lncRNA from 1 species